AGAAAUGCACUGGCCUGUACCGGGCCCUCUGCACAGGGCACAUUCCUCUCUGACGCGAGAGGACACCCAUUUGUUUUACCCUUGCAGUCCGGUUUGACAGCCGCUGGAUGAAGAGGGAAAUGUCGUUCAUUCCUAUCAAGUGAUUCACUGCUCUGGCCCAACGCUGAUGCCUCCCGGCAUAAGAACAUUCAAGUUUAAAGGAUCCGGAGUUAGCCUUCCUAUUUUUGUCGAGCUCACAGCAUUGUCAGAAGGAAAGGGUACCAUCUGGCGCAGCGUGGGUAGAGGAAUUCUGCAGCUUGGAUUUCGCUGGCAUCGGUUCUGCUCUCACAGUGGAUUGGCUGGAGUUCACUGCUGGCUCCUCACAAACUUCCUAAUUAAUCCACCCAAGAUCAGAGGAGGACUAAUCAGAGAUGAAACUUGUGUGUGCUGGGAGAUCCCCUUCUGCUCUUUCCUCCCCACUUGGAUUUGGACACUCUGGACCUGACAGUCUCCCCAAGCCUGCACGCUGCUUUGGGGAGACUCAGGGUGCUGCAGUCUUUUCUUCCGUGUUUCUCCCCCCUUCCCUGGCAUCAGAGCAAUUCCAUGGAGGGCCAUACAAAUCCCUUCUGGCUUUCUCCGACUCUCUUGGGCCUGCUUACUCUCCAUCGCAGCUGCCUGCUGCGCUUUUCCUAGGAAACAAUAGUCAAGUCGCUCAUCUGACAGUCACCCCCCUCACCUAGGACCCCCUCAGAUCAUCGACUACCUCCUCCUUUAUCCACCCUCUUGCUGCCUGCCGUGCCAGCUUGCCCACAGAUCCAUCAACCGCAUCCUCAGCAGCACUUAACAUUGCUUUUCAACUGUUCUUCUCCAGGUGCUUUACCAAAGCAAAUACCAUGUGGGGCGGGGAACGUAAGGCUCUCAAGAAAAGCCACCGUGGGAAACAUAAGUAUCUCCAGACGAGGGCCCCAAACCUGCAAUUCUUGGGCUGGUGCCCGAUCCAUUGAUCUCUGCUGUCUCCUGGCUUCCUGUCCCACCUCGUUCUACAGAUUACACCCAUAUGUCCAUCUAACUAUGUUUCUGGCUCGUAGCAGCGGCCAAGCCCCGAUUUGAAGCCCCUUGAAUUCUUCAUCAUUACUCCUGAGCAGAGCUGUCAGCAAAGGGGAGCCCGCGGUCCCCUCGGCUGCCCCCUUGCUUCUUACACGACGGGAUGAUUCACCAGCAAAGCAAGAAGCCCGGAAGGAGAAAUCUCUCUGCGGGGCUUGGCUGUGACUCGCCAUUUAAAGGGGACAACGGAGGGUGUGAACUUGCAGAGAAGAGACACCAUUAAAGAUUGUAAUUUGUUGAUCCAGCCUCUCCUGGCAUUUCAGCGCAGAGAGUGGCACCGUUUUCUUUAUGACCUCAUAAAGUCACAGCCGAGAGGCCGAUUUGGAAAACAAACUGCCUCAGGUUGACAGAUAAUUAGAUACAGGGGACAUAUUAUACGCCUUUGCAUAUAAAUGCACUCU
rnacentral:lncRNA from 1 species